CGCAUGCGCUGCCUAUACAUGCAGUCGAACGAACCAUCCUGUUGAUUGAAGCUUGCUUCAUGAUUCAGAUUUUGGUGAGUGGCGGACGGGUGAGUAACACGUGGGUAACCUGCCCAAAAGUGGGGGAUAACAUUUGGAAACAAGUGCUAAUACCGCAUAACAACUACUUUCACAUGAUCGUAGCUUGAAAGAUGGCUCUGCUAUCGCUUUUGGAUGGACCCGCGGCGUAUUAGCUAGUUGGUGAGGUAAUGGCUCACCAAGGCAAUGAUACGUAGCCGACCUGAGAGGGUAAUCGGCCACAUUGGGACUGAGACACGGCCCAAACUCCUACGGGAGGCAGCAGUAGGGAAUCUUCCACAAUGGGCGAAAGCCUGAUGGAGCAAUGCCGCGUGAGUGAAGAAGGUUUUCGGAUCGUAAAACUCUGUUGUUGAAGAAGAACAUGCGUGAGAGUAACUGUUCACGUACUGACGGUAUUCAACCAGAAAGCCACGGCUAACUACGUGCCAGCAGCCGCGGUAAUACGUAGGUGGCAAGCGUUGUCCGGAUUUAUUGGGCGUAAAGAGAAUGUAGGCGGUUUAUUAAGUUUGAAGUGAAAGCCCUCGGCUCAACCGAGGAAGUGCUUCGAAAACUGGUAAACUUGAGUGCAGAAGAGGAAAGUGGAACUCCAUGUGUAGCGGUGGAAUGCGUAGAUAUAUGGAAGAACACCAGUGGCGAAGGCGGCUUUCUGGUCUGUAACUGACGCUGAGAUUCGAAAGCAUGGGUAGCAAACAGGAUUAGAUACCCUGGUAGUCCAUGCCGUAAACGAUGAGUGCUAAGUGUUGGAGGGUUUCCGCCCUUCAGUGCUGCAGCUAACGCAUUAAGCACUCCGCCUGGGGAGUACGACCGCAAGGUUGAAACUCAAAGGAAUUGACGGGGGCCCGCACAAGCGGUGGAGCAUGUGGUUUAAUUCGAAGCAACGCGAAGAACCUUACCAGGUCUUGACAUACCAUGAAAAGCUAAGAGAUUAGUCUUUCCCUUCGGGGACAUGGAUACAGGUGGUGCAUGGUUGUCGUCAGCUCGUGUCGUGAGAUGUGGGUAGUCCCGCACGAGCGCAGCCCUUAUUAUCAGUUGCCAGCAUUCAGUUGGGCACUCU
rnacentral:rRNA from 1 species